UCUGCAGUGACGGUAGCAAGUUCAAUAACGUGUAGUGCAUACGUUUUCUCUCAGCUACAAAGCACCUUCCUUAAGAAAUGCUUAUAAAAUAUUCAAUGUAAACUACUGAAGAAACUCAUAUUUAGUAGUACUCCCCAAGCUGUGAGUACAUUUCUUGAUUUUACUUUAAUGUUUUUCAUUGCAGUAUAAUUUAUUACCCAAAACUUGCUUUCAUCACAAUUAUUUGUAAAAUUGUGUUUUAAAAAUUCUAAUGGAAUGAAAGGAAUUAGCUGAUUUUGUUCAGCUUCUCAGAAGUUACCUGGAGAAUUAGGAAUAGUUGAAAAUACAUUGCAUUAGAUAUUUUUAUUCUGUACUGCUUCUCUGAGAAUGCUUUUUAUGCUAUCGAAGUACAGCGCAUGGUAACUAUAUUUUGUAAUGACAGACAAUUCCAAUGGUGAGCAUGUACUCAGUCUUCAGUGCUUACAAUAUUCCUUUUUUCUCAUCAUGUCUACACUGGAUUUUCUCACUCAGCUACUGUAUGUGCACUGCUUCAUCCUUAUUGUCAGUGUACCUCCAUGACCAGCUGAAGAGAUUACCAACUCUAGACAACUCCCAGAUGUUUGUUGCCAUCCUCUUGCCAAGAAAUGCUGCCUUGUCAGAUCCACUGGUUAAAUUACGUGUGCUAUCAUUUCCUAAUUUAUAUCAAAAUGAGUUUAGUUGGCAAAACAGUGCCCAGGAACACCAUGGCAGAAGAAGAUAGAAAAAGGAUCUACAACUGAGUGAUGUCUGAUACCAGAUACCUCAUGAUGUGAUACCUGCCUGCUGCUGGACUUUCCUGGGCCUGCUACCUGAGACCUACCUGUUUCUCCUGGACUCGCUCUUGCUGCACCUGCUUGUUGCCUAAGGCUGGCCGCUCUGCUGCUGCUCUCCUCUGCGCCCUUGCUCCUGUAUUGGCCUUGGACCAUCGGAAUGGUGUGCAAUGGGAUGCUGCUGGAUCUUGGUGGUAUACUGCGUAGUCUGAAAUGCAUUAUAGUAACCUGUAUCUUCUGGGAAUUCUCUGUCUCCAUGAACCACGGCAGCAUUGAGUGGAGCAGAAACCGAAUUUCGGCCUUGAGAAAUCAAACUCCCUAGAUAAAGUCAUGAAGAUGCAGGUGUUUUAUGAAUUAUGUCUAAUAUUAAAUAACAGCUAUCAACAAAAUAAUCCGCCCAUGCCUUCUAUUCACCAAAAUAAUAGCAACAUAAAAAUACAUAUCAUAAAGUAGACGACCUCCAACAGUUUCCCUCUACAGCUACGUUAAAUGUACUUAAUCCAGUGUGGAUGGCAACAUAAAGCAACUUUUAUUCAUAUCCCCAUGAUUCUGCUUCACCUCAAUGAAAUGAAUACCGCUUUCAAAGAAAAUUGAAAACCAAAUCAAAACCAAAAAAACCCUACUGUCAUUAUAAUACCUGCAGAGUGAUACCACUAACGGACCUGACUGUUUGUUUCUAAGGAAGAACAGCUGUGCAACAGACUGUCUGAACAGUCACUAUUACAGAAUGCAACAUGGAUCACUGACACAAAGGAAGCACUACACCAGCUGGCUUUCUGUCUUAGAGCAUUUCUAUUCCUAGAUGAUUUACCUGUUCUCAGUCCUGUCACCUUAGCACUUCUACUACCCAAUUAAAAAAUGAUGUUGCUGAAUUCUCUCUGCUGUAAAUUAAAUAUGUUAUUUAUCAGAUCAAACUGCUAUGGUUUUUUUUAAACUUUGCAAUAUAUGACUUAUUUUUAAACUUAGCUGCUUGAUUAUUUAUUUAUGGUAUAUUUUGUUCUCUUGUAGAGUUUAGAUCAGAAAAAUUCUUUUCUAAUGUAUUCACAUGCAGUGAUCUACAUUUCCUAAUCAUAAUCAUGUCAGCAAAAGCGGAGCUGCUCUUAGGAUAACGUUUUAGUCUAGAAAAUGAUUUCCCUUUAAAAUGGAUUCAAUGGACAUGAUGAUAUAAAAAGAAGAUGCAAAAUUACACACAACAGUUUGCAUAAUCAAAACAGAUAUGUUUUGUAUUCAGGGAAGAUUUCUUUUUGCUACAUUAAAUGGAAGAAAAUAAACCUUUUGGAAUUCUGCAAGUGUGCUGUGGAUGUAAAGGC
ensembl:lncRNA